CAAGUUUUUAUUACCCGAUUACUUCCACGCAGUUAAGUACCCAUUAGUCAGUAGAGAAAUAACCGUAAUCGUUUUCCUCAUUACGUGUGCUGAUUGAUGAUUAGCAUUUAAAUUGAAGUAAAUAGCCAGUUCACCGUGACCAUGCCAGUGACGGCUAUCAGCGGCAGUAACUAGGCGUGAGGUCGCAUCACUUCUAAAAUGUUUAAACUUUGGUGCCUCUGAUUUGCUGAGAAACAUUUAAGUGUUCUACAACUGCUAAGAAACGAUUGUCAUGUUGGCAGCCCUGCGUGACGCCCUGUGGGGUUAGUCUCCUUCCACCCGCGGGUAAAUACAGAUCAGUGUCCUCUCAGCCAAGCUUUUUUGACUUGUUGACUGAGUAUUCCCGUUAAGUUGUUGUCCUGCCACUUGUAUGUCUUCCCAAGUGGUUUGUGGGCGCUUCAUAAACAGUGUCGUGAGGUCUUCAGGGUGCUUGGAUACUUUUCUUGCGUCACCGGACCAGUCGAAAUGAAGUCUUGGUGUCCCUCAGCAAUGGCGGCGGGCAGGGUGCAAAUCGUGUUGCCACUGUACGCAGCUGCUGUCUUGACACGGAUGGCCACAGAGGACGAGAAUAGCAACGAACUGGCUCCCUGUGUUCCCCUUGGCGAUGCUUGGCUCGUGGAGGACGUCACAUUGCAGGCAGUGGUGGCCUGGCCCGGAACUUUCCUCGUUGACUUUUUAAGAAAUACAUCUCGAGGCGUGAGGGCGGCGCGGGGCUGCUCUUCCCGGCCCGAGAGUUUGUUUGUUGACGCAAGAAUUCUGUUCGCCUCCCGCGCCGUGAUGAGAUGAGUCUUUUCAUGCCUGAUGUCCUACACAAGAUUACUCCCCGGAACUUAUCCAGUCUCUCCGCUGCGCAUCUAAUUAAAUGUCUUUAGGAUGUUUUCUCAUUUACUUUUUCAAUGCAUGAAUAUAUUCCAUUCGAAAACAUUUAGGAAUAUGAGUUGAGAAGGAGAGAUG